UACGAAGGGGGCUAGCGUUGUUCGGAAUUACUGGGCGUAAAGGGCGCGUAGGCGGCCUCGUCCGUCCGGCGUGAAAUGCCUGGGCUCAACCUAGGAAUUGCGCUCGAUACAGCGAGGCUAGAGUGUGGGAGAGGUUGGUGGAAUUCCCAGUGUAGAGGUGAAAAUUCGUAGAUAUUGGGAAGAACACCGGUGGCGAAGGCGGCCAACUGGACCACAACUGACGCUGAGGCGCGAAAGCGUGGGGAGCAAACAGG
rnacentral:rRNA from 1 species